GUGCAUUUGGGGUCGGCCUUUUGGCCCAUCUCUCAUGGGAAUGAGGAUUCUGUGGUCAAAUACAUUGGGCAGAUGCUGCCUACUUCAUCCCCCUUACUGAGAGUCGAGGAGCAGCCCAUCAGCACAUUAAAGGCUCUGGCCCCUGAGCACCCUGAACAGCCACACAUUUGGCCAGAAGCAAGAAGACCAGUGGGCACUGCCUGAGGCCGUGUCACCGUGCUGCCAACAGCUUCUGUGCCCAAACAGAUGCUGUUGCUGGUGAAGUGUUCAGGAGAGGAGAUUCUGAUUCUCAAGUAUCAUUCAGCCUGAAAAAGGAAGUUUUGACACGGGCUGCAGUAUGGAUGAAGCCUGAAGACAUUCUGCCGACUGAAAGGA